rnacentral:rRNA from 1 species
AAYGACUCUCGGCAACAGAUAUCUCGGCUCUUGCAUCGAUGAAGAAUGUAGUGAAAUGCGAUACUUGAUAUGAAUUGCAGAAUCCCGUGAACCAUCGAGUCUUUGAACGUAAGUUGCGCCGAAGGCYAUUAGGCCGAGGGCACGUCUGGCURGGUGUCACACAACG